rnacentral:rRNA from 1 species
GGUUAAGGCCACACCGCCUGGUUCACGCCCCGAUCUCGUUUGAUCUCGGAAGAUAAGAUAGGGUGGGCCUGGUUAGUACUUGGAUGGGAGACUGCCUGGGAAUGCCAGGUGCUUUAAGCU